rnacentral:rRNA from 1 species
GGGAGGGCGGCGUGCUAUACAUGCAGUCGAGCGAACAGAUAAGGAGCUUGCUCCUUUGACGUUAGCGGCGGACGGGUGAGUAACACGUGGGUAACCUACCUAUAAGACUGGGAUAACUUCGGGAAACCGGAGCUAAUACCGGAUAACAUUUGGAACCGCAUGGUUCUAAAGUGAAAGAUGGUUUUGCUAUCACUUAUAGAUGGACCCGCGCCGUAUUAGCUAGUUGGUAAGGUAACGGCUUACCAAGGCGACGAUACGUAGCCGACCUGAGAGGGUGAUCGGCCACACUGGAACUGAGACACGGUCCAGACUCCUACGGGAGGCAGCAGUAGGGAAUCUUCCGCAAUGGGCGAAAGCCUGACGGAGCAACGCCGCGUGAGUGAUGAAGGGUUUCGGCUCGUAAAACUCUGUUAUUAGGGAAGAACAAAUGUGUAAGUAACUGUGCACAUCUUGACGGUACCUAAUCAGAAAGCCACGGCUAACUACGUGCCAGCAGCCGCGGUAAUACGUAGGUGGCAAGCGUUAUCCGGAAUUAUUGGGCGUAAAGCGCGCGUAGGCGGUUUCUUAAGUCUGAUGUGAAAGCCCACGGCUCAACCGUGGAGGGUCAUUGGAAACUGGGAAACUUGAGUGCAGAAGAGGAAAGUGGAAUUCCAUGUGUAGCGGUGAAAUGCGCAGAGAUAUGGAGGAACACCAGUGGCGAAGGCGACUUUCUGGUCUGUAACUGACGCUGAUGUGCGAAAGCGUGGGGAUCAAACAGGAUUAGAUACCCUGGUAGUCCACGCCGUAAACGAUGAGUGCUA